rnacentral:rRNA from 1 species
AAAUGAAUAGACGGGACCCCGCACAAGCAGUGGAGCGUGUGGUUUAAUUCGAAGCAACGCGUAGAACCUUACCAGGGCUUGACAUUACAGUGAAGGCUCUAGAAAUAGGGAGAUACCGUAGCAAUACGGGCACUGUAACAGGUGUUGCAUGGUUGUCGUCAGCUCGUGUCGUGAGAUGUUGGGUUAAGUCCCGCAACGAGCGCAACCCCUAUCUGGUGUUGCCACCGGUUAAAGCCGAGCACUCACCAGAGACCGCCGGAGACGAUUCGGAGGAAGGUGGGGAUGACGUCAAAUCAUCAUGGCCCUUAUGCCCUGGGCCACACACGCGCUACAAUGGCCGGUACAACGGGCAGCGAAGGAGCGAUCUGGAGCGAAUCCCUAAAAGCCGGUCUCAGUUGGGAUUGGGGGCUGAAACUCGUCCCCAUGAACAUGGAAUUGCUAGUAAUCGCGGAUCAGCCACGCCGCGGUGAAUACGUUCCCGGGGUUUGUACACACCGCCCGU